rnacentral:tRNA from 1 species
GCCGAAGUGGUGAAAUUGGUAGACACGCUACCUUGAGGGGGUAGUGGGCGUGCGCCCGUGCGAGUUCGAGUCUCGCCUUCGGCACCA